rnacentral:rRNA from 1 species
GUGGCGGACGGGUGAGUAAUGCUUGGGAAUCUGGCUUAUGGAGGGGGAUAACUACGGGAAACUGUAGCUAAUACCGCGUAAAAUCUUCGGAUUAAAGGGUGGGACUUUCGGGCCACCUGCCAUAAGAUGAGCCCAAGUGGGAUUAGGUAGUUGGUUAGGUAAAGGCUGACCAAGCCGACGAUCUCUAGCUGGUCUGAGAGGAUGACCAGCCACACUGGAACUGAGACACGGUCCAGACUCCUACGGGAGGCAGCAGUGGGGAAUAUUGCACAAUGGGGGGAACCCUGAUGCAGCCAUGCCGCGUGAAUG